GACGAACGCUGGCGGCGUGCUUAACACAUGCAAGUCGAACGGAAAGGCCCUGCUUUUGUGGGGUGCUCGAGUGGCGAACGGGUGAGUAACACGUGAGUAACCUGCCCUUGACUUUGGGAUAACUUCAGGAAACUGGGGCUAAUACCGGAUAGGAGCUCCUGCUGCAUGGUGGGGGUUGGAAAGUUUCGGCGGUUGGGGAUGGACUCGCGGCUUAUCAGCUUGUUGGUGGGGUAGUGGCUUACCAAGGCUUUGACGGGUAGCCGGCUGAGAGGGUGACCGGCCACAUUGGGACUGAGAUACGGCCCAGACUCCUACGGGAGGCAGCAGUGGGGAAUAUUGCACAAUGGGCGGAAGCCUGAUGCAGCAACGCCGCGUGCGGGAUGACGGCCUUCGGGUUGUAAACCGCUUUCGCCUGUGACGAAGCGUGAGUGACGGUAAUGGGUAAAGAAGCACCGGCUAACUACGUG
rnacentral:rRNA from 1 species